AACGAACGCUGGCGGCAUGCCUAACACAUGCAAGUCGAACGAGACCUUCGGGUCUAGUGGCGCACGGGUGCGUAACGCGUGGGAACCUGCCCUUAGGUUCGGAAUAACUCCCCGAAAGGGGUGCUAAUACCGGAUAAUGUCUUCGGACCAAAGAUUUAUCGCCUUUGGAUGGGCCCGCGUUGGAUUAGCUAGUUGGUAGGGUAAAAGCCUACCAAGGCGACGAUCCAUAGCUGGUCUGAGAGGAUGAUCAGCCACACUGGGACUGAGACACGGCCCAGACUACUACGGGAGGCAGCAGUGGGGAAUAUUGGACAAUGGGCGAAAGCCUGAUCCAGCAAUGCCGCGUGAGUGAUGAAGGCCUUAGGGUUGUAAAGCGCUUUUACCAGGGAUGAUAAUGACAGUACCGGGAGAAUAAGCUCCGGCUAACUCCGUG
rnacentral:rRNA from 1 species